rnacentral:ribozyme from 13 species
AAAAUAGGUGUCUCUCUUUUUCUCUCUCUAUUUCUCUAUUUCUCAUUUUUAUGGUCUAGUCAUGCACAUACGACCAGGUGAGCAACAACACAGCUUGACAGCAACCGUCAGGAAGAUCACUUCCAAAAUGUGGCAGAUGGGACCCCAUGAAUAAAGCAGAAGACCCAAUGGAACUCAACGUCACCUUUUCUACUUUAGGAAGUGUUGAAUUCUUUUCAUUUGGAACCAAAAA